rnacentral:lncRNA from 1 species
CAGGAGUUCAAGACCAGCCUGGCCAGCAUGGUGAAACCCUGUCUACUAAAAAUACAAAAAAUUAGCUGGGCAUGGUGGUGUGUGCCUAUAAUGCCAGCUCUCAGGAGGCUGAGGCAGGUGAAUUGCUUGAACCUGGGAGGUGGAAAUUGCAGUGAGCUAAGAUCGCGCCACUGCACUCCAGCCUGGGCGACAAGAGUGAGACUCCAUCUCAGGAAAAAAAAAAGAAAAAAAGAAAAAAAAAGAAAAUAUUUGGGCUAGAAUUAGGGUGGAAGGGAUCCUCAAGUUUGCCUAGACCAGCCUCUUAUCAGAGACUUUUUUAAAGCCAGUGUUUUAUUGCUAUAUAAUUAAAUGUAAUAAAAUACACUCUUUAAGUGUGCAUUUUGAUGAAUUUUGACAAAUUUAUUCAUACUUGUAAUCAUCACAAUAACAUUUCCAUCACCCAGAAGGUUCCUAGGGCCUCUUUCCAGUCAGCCCCGUCCCAACCCCCAGCCCUACUGAUCUGAUCUUUGUUGUUAGGGCAUUUGUAUUUUCUAGUGUUUCAUAUAACUGAAACAGUAUGUGCUCUUGUGUCUGGCUUCUUUCCAUCGGUAUAAUUUUUUUUUUUUGAGAUGGAGUUUCGCUCCUGUUGCCCAGGCUGCAGUGCAGUAGCGCAAUCUCAGCUCACUGCAACAUCUGCCUUCCGGGUUCAAGUGAUUCUCCUGCCUCAGCUUCCUGAGUAGCUGGGAUUACAAGCAUGCGCCACCAUGCCCAGAUAAUUUUGUAUUUUUAGUAGAGACAGGGUUUCACCAUGUUGGUUGGGCUGGUCACUGCUGACCUCAGGUAAUCUGCCUGCCUUGGCCUCCCAAAGUGCUGGGAUUACAGGUGUGAGCCACCGUGCCUGGCCUUCCAUCGGUAUAAUUUUUUUUUUUUUUGAGACUGAGUCUUGCUCUGUCCCCCAGGCUGGAGUGCAGUGGCGCAAUCUUGGCCCACUGCAACCUCUGCCCCCUGGGUUCAAGCGAUUCGCCUGCCUCAGCCUCCUGAGUGGCUGGGACUACAGGCAUGUGCCACCGUGCCCAGCUAAUUUUUUGUAUUUUUAGUAGAGACGGGGUUUCACCGUGUUAGCCAGGAUGGUCUCAAUCUCCUGAUCUCGUGAUCCACCUGCCUCAGCCUCCCAAAGUACUGGGAUUACAGGCAUGAGCCACCGCGCCCAGCCCUAUUGGUAUAUUUUUUAAAAUAUUUAUCCAUGUUGUAGCAUGUAUCAGUAAUUCAUUUCUUUUUAUUACUGAGUAGUGUUCCAUCGUAGGGAUAUACCACAAUUUGUUUAGCUAUUUAUCUGUUGGUGAAUAUUUGGGUUUUUUCUUGUGUUGGGCAGUCACAAAUAAAGCUGCUAUGAAUAUGUUUUCAUUUCUCUUGGAUAAAACUCCAAGACUGGGAUUGCUGGGUGUCUUUUUAAUUUUUAUUUUUUGAGAUGGAGUUUCACUCUUGCUGCCCAGGCUGGAGUGCAAUGGCGCAAUCUCGGCUCACCGCAACCUCUGCCUUCUGGGUUUAAGCAAUUCUCCUGCCUCAGCCUCCCUAGUAGCUGGGAUUACAGGCAUGUGCCACCAUGCCUGGAAAUUUUGUAUUUUUAGUAGAGACGGGGGUUUCACCAUGUUGGCCAGGCUGGUCUUGAACUCCUGACCUCAGGUGAUCCACCCGCCCCAGCCUCCCAAAGUGCCGGGAUUAUAGGCGUGAGCCACUGCACCCAGCCAAUUAAGUGCACCUUCUAAACCAGAACUUAAUGAAUAAAAAAUAAUAAGGCCGGGCACAGUGGCUCAUGCCUG